GAUCAAUUUAUCAUAUGACACGUGUUGAAGGUUGUAAUAUGGUGACAGGUUAAUAGUUCUUCAGGAACUGGCACUGUCCAUUCAUCCCAAUGGAGUAAAUCAUGCAGGAGGUCUGGACGUUCCAGGAGGGUGUUAUAUGGAUUUAAGCCUUGAUCAUGUUGGUCAGUUCUUCUCAUUCUGAGAAAUGGGCUUUGAUUUAAGAUAAUCUUACAUAAGUUGUGCAUACUCUAAUUGUAAAGGAGUUCGCCUGUACAGUAGCACUAUAACAAGAUACAACACAAAUACUGUUUCUGCUCAUUAUGCUGGUUUCUAUAUGAGUUAUCCCUAUUAUUUUUUCUGUUUCAUUUUCUUCUUUAACAAAAGGGUGAUCCAUAUGUUGAUGUGAUGUCUAAAUUGAACAGCUUGAGAAUGCAAUAUCUACUAACUGCCAUUAUUGUUUCCUCUUGUCCUUUGCAGAUUGAGCUGCCCGAUGAGUUGAGAUACGCCAGUGUUGAUGCUGAUCUGGAGGAAGAUAGAACUACGGGAGCGGAACCUCUGAGUCGCUUAUCCAUUCAUCUUUUCAAAAAUUCCCGUCUCUCUGAUCAAAUGACAGGAGACAUUAUUGGAUGU
rnacentral:lncRNA from 1 species